GUCUAUUAAUUGUAGACCAGCAUGAAAGGCAACAUGAGGGCCUAACUGUCUCUUAUAAUAAAUCAAUUAAACUGAUCUCCUAGUAAAAAAGCUAGAAUUUUACCAUAAGACCAGAAGACCCUGUGAAGCUUAAACUAAACUAUUAAAACAUAUAAUAACUACUUUCGGUUGGGGCGACCUUGGAAAAAAAAAGAACUUCCAACAUACUAAUUUACCAUACCAUAUAGGCCUACAAGCCAUACAUUAAUGACCCAGUACAGCUGAUCAUUGAACCAAGUUACUCCAGGGAUAACAGCGCAAUCUUCUUCAAGAGCCCAUAUCAAAAAGAAGGUUUACGACCUCGAUGUUGGAUCAGGACAUCCUAACGGCGC
rnacentral:rRNA from 1 species